rnacentral:tRNA from 1 species
AAAUACUCUCGGUAGCCAAGUUGGUUUAAGGCGCAAGACUUUAAUUUAUCACUACGAAAUCUUGAGAUCGGGCGUUCGACUCGCCCCCGGGAGAU